AGCAGCCGCGGUAAUUCCAGCUCCAAUAGCGUAUAUUAAAGUUGUUGCAGUUAAAAAGCUCGUAGUUGAAUUUCGGGGUUAGUAGGUUGGUCAUGCCUCUGGUAUGUACUGGUCUCACUGAUUCCUCCUUCCUGAUGAACCUUAAUGCCAUUAAUUUGGUGUUUUGGGGAAUUUGGACUGUUACUUUGAAAAAAUUAGAGUGUUUAAAGCAAGCUAACGCUUGAAUACAUUAGCAUGGAAUAAUGAAAUAGGACGUUCGAUCCUAUUUUGUUGGUUUCUAGGAUUGACGUAAUGAUUAAUAGGGAUAGUUGGGGGCAUUAGUAUUCAAUUGUCAGAGGUGAAAUUCUUGGAUUUAUUGAAGACUAACUACUGCGAAAGCAUUUGCCAAGGAUGUUUUCAUUAAUCAAGAACGAAAGUUAGGGAUCGAAGACGAUCAGAUACCGUCGUAGUCUUAACCAUAAACUAUGCCGACUAGGGAUCGGAUGAUGUUAAUUUUUAAUGUACUCAUUCGGCGCCUUAC
rnacentral:rRNA from 1 species